rnacentral:piRNA from 1 species
UACUCUAGGAGAGCUGUGUUCUGAAAA